UGAGGAAUAUUGGUCAAUGGACGCAAGUCUGAACCAGCCAUGCCGCGUGCAGGAUGACGGCUCUAUGAGUUGUAAACUGCUUUUGUACGAGGGUAAACGCAGAUACGUGUAUCUGUCUGAAAGUAUCGUACGAAUAAGGAUCGGCUAACUCCGUGCCAGCAGCCGCGGUAAUACGGAGGAUCCGAGCGUUAUCCGGAUUUAUUGGGUUUAAAGGGAGCGUAGGCGGACGCUUAAGUCAGUUGUGAAAGUUUGCGGCUCAACCGUAAAAUUGCAGUUGAUACUGGGUGUCUUGAGUACAGUAGAGGCAGGCGGAAUUCGUGGUGUAGCGGUGAAAUGCUUAGAUAUCACGAAGAACUCCGAUUGCGAAGGCAGCUUGCUGGACUGUAACUGACGCUGAUGCUCGAAAGUGUGGGUAUCAAACAGGAUUAGAUACCCUGGUAGUCCACACAGUAAACGAUGAAUACUCGCUGUUUGCGAUAUACAGUAAGCGGCCAAGCGAAAGCGUUAAGUAUUCCACCUGGGGAGUACGCCGGCAACGGUGAAACUCAAAGGAAUUGACGGGGGCCCGCACAAGCGGAGGAACAUGUGGUUUAAUUCGAUGAUACGCGAGGAACCUUACCCGGGCUUGAAUUGCAACUGAAUGAUGUGGAGACAUGUCAGCCGCAAGGCAGUUGUGAAGGUGCUGCAUGGUUGUCGUCAGCUCGUGCCGUGAGGUGUCGGCUUAAGUGCCAUAACGAGCGCAACCCUUAUCGAUAGUUACCAUCAGGUUAUGCUGGGGACUCUGUCGAGACUGCCGUCGUAAGAUGUGAGGAAGGUGGGGAUGACGUCAAAUCAGCACGGCCCUUACGUCCGGGGCUACACACGUGUUACAAUGGGGGGUACAGAAGGCAGCUACACGGCGACGUGAUGCUAAUCCCUAAAGCCUCUCUCAGUUCGGAUUGGAGUCUGCAACCCGACUCCAUGAAGCUGGAUUCGCUAGUAAUCGCGCAUCAGCCACGGCGCGGUGAAUACGUUCCC
rnacentral:rRNA from 1 species